GAUUGCAGUAGGGUUGUUUAGC
rnacentral:miRNA from 1 species